rnacentral:lncRNA from 1 species
UGGAGGUCCUUUUCUUUCUUGCCAAACUCGGAUAUCAACUCUCUUCAUUUUUAUUUGCAUCAUUAUCAUCAGUAUUUUUAUUAUUAUAAUUAUUAUUUUACUUUAGUCGAUGUAAGAAUUUUUUCCUGAACUAUAAAAAAUAGAUUUCCAUUUAUUUCUUCUCUUGAUUAUUUUCAAUCAAAAUUUCCUUUCUUCAUUGACUCUGCUAUGCAAGCUUUACUCAUCUUAUACAAAAGUACAAAUUAAGUAGAAUAAUUUUUUUUUCUCCUCAAAUCCAAAAGUUAUACACUACGCUCCAGAACUAAGUAUUUCUCAAAUUAAAAUUUCUACUCUCAGUUAGGAUUCACAUCAAAAUUCACAUCAAAUUACCACAUAUAUAGAGGACACAUUUAGGAAUAAACAGGAAUGGUACAAAUCUUUCUAUGUAUUAAACAGAAGUGAAUAAAAGAAUAAUGUAACUAUUGUUCGUAUUGAUUUGUUUUUAACUUUCGCCCUAAAAAUGACCAUACUUGUAAAACGGAAAAACAGUGAAACCCCUGUGGUUUGACUGAAUUAAUUGAAAUUCUCCUAAUACUUUUAAAUGCAUCUAAACCGUCUUGAGUGUCAAACAUUUUGCUGAUCUUACUAUGUUAUUCUUGAUGGUUGUUUAAUAUUGAGAAUACAAUAAUCUUUAAUUAUUUAAUUAAUUGAAUAACU